AGUCAAGGCGGCAGUGGAUACUUUUAGCCACAAGGGGGCGCCAAGAGCACAGGAUGUAGAAGGCAAACAGCAAGGGAGAAGGGCCCAGGGCCUAGGAAAGGGAGAUGAAGGAACGGCGGGGGCUGGAGAUGUACGCGGAGCCCUGAGGCUGACUGUGGCUCCACACUGAGCUGUAUCAGGGACCCAGGGAGAAAGAACUCAGGGAGAAGAGCAAUGCAUGAAACUGAAAAAAAAACUUUCAAAAACAACUGUCAUGGACUUUUCUGGUGGCGCAGUGGUUGAGAGUCCGCCUGCCAAUGCAGGGGACACGGGUUCAAGCCCUGGUCCUGGAAGAUCCCACAUGCCAUGGAGCAAAUGGGCCCGUGCGCCACAGCUGCUGAGCCUGCGCUCUGGAGCCUGCGAGCCACAACUACUGAGCUCACAUGCCAAGAGCCCGUGCUCUCAACAAGAGAGGCCACCGCAGUGAGAAGCCCACGCACUGCAGCAAAGGGUAGCCCCCGCCCGCCACAACUAAAGCCCACGCGCAGCAACAAGACCCAAUGCAAAAAAAAAAAAAAACCACCAAAGAAAUAAAAACAAAAAAAAAACAA